GCCUACGGGGCGCAGCAGUGAGGAAUAUUGGUCAAUGGGCGAGAGCCUGAACCAGCCAAGUCGCGUGAAGGAUGACGGCCCUACGGGUUGUAAACUUCUUUUGUCAGGGAGCAAUUGGGUCCACGCGUGGGCUUAGCGAGAGUACCUGAAGAAAAAGCAUCGGCUAACUCCGUGCCAGCAGCCGCGGUAAUACGGAGGAUGCGAGCGUUAUCCGGAUUUAUUGGGUUUAAAGGGUGCGCAGGCGGAAGAUCAAGUCAGCGGUAAAAUUGAGAGGCUCAACCUCUUCGAGCCGUUGAAACUGGUUU
rnacentral:rRNA from 1 species